rnacentral:lncRNA from 1 species
AUUUUGAAAAUGCUUUUAAUAAGUGUUGACAACACCGUUUUGCAAAAUGUAAAGGUACUAUACAAAUUCUUAAUACAAAAAGAAUAAAUUAAAAGCAGAUUUCUUUUUAAUUUCUGCCACUUUGUCUACAACAUACAUCUUUGUCAUUGAUUACAGUUGAACAGAAUCCAGUCAAAUCAUUUUACAUGCUCUACAGUCAGUUUCAGGAGCAACCUAAUCCUUUUCUCCCCAUUUUUAAACUAGAGUCCGUUUUACACAACUUGUAAUAAACUAUUGACAUUAAUGUGUAUGUCAAACUUUACACCGAGUUAAUUAAGCAGUAACUGGUCAUCUGAUAGCACCUGGAUGGGGUUUGCUAUGUAUGUGGAGAACUAAACUAAUACUGGAUGAAAACAAAUUGGAAUUUUAACAGUUUCGACACUCACCUGCAUAUAAUAAAAUUAAAAAAAAAAAAAAAGUCUGAUGUAGGUAUUUUCACCAGCCUUCUGGCUAAACAGGCAAUUUCUUACACGUAACCAAAGAAUCCAAUAGGGGCUGUAUAGCAGACCAGGGGUUUCCUAUUUCAUCUGAAUUUGCUUUAAAGAAAUAGGGGUCUAUAAAGAGCUUGCCAGUGCUUGUGUACAGUAACUCGUUUCCCACCACACGGAUCAAGCAUGUCCGUCUCAAAGGACCAACACUUUAUGUACAUCUCGUAGGAACUGAACGCAGCGCAACAGUAAAACCUGUUUUACUUAAUCUCUGUCUUUACUACCAGACUCUCACGAUGUUUGUGUGAACUGUGAUUCCGCUCCCCUUCCCCAGCUCCAUUCCUUUUGGCCUCCCGGUUCCCAAACCCAGGGGCGGAGAAAGGAUUUUCCUCUCCUUCCUUGUAACCCAGCUGGGCUGAAACACGCGAUCUGACUUCAGCCGUGGUUUCUAACGACGAGCCACGUCGUAUAACCUGCAGCCAUGGAGCCUUGUCCGCUCCUCUCUUUCCCUGUGGCACAGAGUUCAGUUUGCUUAUUCCUGCGUCCUCUUUGGGGAAAAAAGAACGCAGCCUAAGACAUAGUGUUUCCAAACAGGGGAGGCAGUAACCCUGCUUUGUGUACCUCUGACCAUCAAAACAAGAGCAAACUGCUCCUCCCAUUUCAAUCCCCAGAAUCAUUUACUAGUACAGUGGGUCUAUUUCCCCUGCAGGGGUUAUCCUAACAGAUUCUGCAACUCUCUGUCCUUACCACAGGCUGGUGUGGCCAGCCCAGCUGCGCGCAGGGCUGGGGAGCCCAGGCCCUGCAUUGUCCAGACCGGCCCCAGCCUGCUGCGAGCCCCGCCGGAGUCACCCCCAUGGUGCUUUUCCAGUUACAGCAGGGGGACCACCAUGGUGAUUUAUUUCAUUUUAGUGUCCAUUCUUACCCUCUGGGUCUGGUAGAGUCUAUUGUUAUUCUUGGAUUACCUACACAUUAAAAAAAACAGAGUUCUCUUUUUACGCCAAAGCUAACCUCCAUUCUGCUUGCCCGAGUAUCUAGCCCCACCCCAGCUCCUGUCCCUGGCUGUCCAAUACCUUUCCCAUAGGAUGUCAUGACAAUGACACAUGUCAGGGUGGCUGAUGGUGUUGUAGGCAUACGGGCCCUCUGGGAGCUGAUAUAUUUUUUUUUUUCCCCAACCCUGCUCUGCCUGCCAGCUAGUAGACACGUAAGGACUCCCUUCCUCCCUAAGGGCACAGUUGGGUCCUUGGAAUAAGUGACAUCUUGAGAAAGACCAAAGACAUCUGAGCUCUUUGUCACACAAGUGCUAACAGAAGAUGGGCCACAACAGUUAAAACACUUGAAUGGAUGGCAGUGUGCUUUUCCCUUGGCUUCGCAUACAAAAGAAAAUGAAACACCUUGUGCAGGGGGGGAAAAAACAGGAUUCACUUUUACUGGUUGUUUUAAUGAGAAUCACUUUGAGCGAUCAUCACCUUAUGUUUCCUACAAGGCCCCAGAGGAAAGCAGCUCUGUGUCUAGGCCUGAACCCCUACCCCUCC